rnacentral:rRNA from 1 species
CUACGGGAGGCAGCAGUGAGGAAUUUUGCGCAAUGGGGGGAACCCUGACGCAGCAACGCCGCGUGAGUGAUGAAGGCUUUCGGGUCGUAAAGCUCUGUCAAGUGGGAAGAACCUAUGCAGUGUUAAUAUCACUGUAUACUGACGGUACCACUGAAGGAAGCACCGGCUAACUCCGUGCCAGCAGCCGCGGUAAUCCGGGGGGUGCAAGCGUUAUUCGGAAUCAUUGGGCGUAAAGGGCACGUAGGCGGCUUGGUAAGUCAGAUGUGAAAGCCCGGGGCUUAACCCCGGAAGUGCAUUUGAUACUGUCAGGCUUGAGUAUGGGAGAAGGAAGUGGAAUUCCUGGUGUAGAGGUGAAAUUCGUAGAUAUCAGGAGGAACACCGGUGGCGAAGGCGACUUCCUGGACCAAUACUGACGCUGAGGUGCGAAGGCGUGGGUAGCAAACAGGAUUAGAUACCCUGGUAGUC